ACGUAGGUGGCAAGCGUUAUCCGGAAUUAUUGGGCGUAAAGCGCGCGUAGGCGGUUUUUUAAGUCUGAUGUGAAAGYYCACGGCUCAACCGUGGAGGGUCAUUGGAAACUGAAAAACUUGAGUGCAUAAGAGGAAAGUGGAAUUCCAUGUGUAGCGGUGAAAUGCGCAGAGAUAUGGAGGAACACCAGUGGCGAAGGCGACUUUCUGGUCUGUAACUGACGCUGAUGUGCGAAAGCGUGGGGAUCAAACAGGAUUAGAUACCCUGGUAGUCCACGCCGUAAACGAUGAGUGCUAAGUGUUAGGGGGGUUCCGCCCCUUAGUGCUGCAGCUAACGCAUUAAGCACUCCGCCUGGGGAGUACGGCCGCAAGGCUUAAACUCAAAGGAAUUGACGGGGACCCGCACAAGCGGUGGAGCAUGUGGUUUAAUUCGAAGCAACGCGAAGAACCUUACCAAAUCUUGACAUCCUUUGACCGCUCUAGAGAUAGAGUCUUCCCCUUCGGGGGACAAAGUGACAGGUGGUGCAUGGUUGUCGUCAGCUCGUGUCGUGAGAUGUUGGGUUAAGUCCCGCAACGAGCGCAACCCUUAAGCUUAGUUGCCAUCAUUCAGUUGGGCACUCUAAGUUGACUGCCGGUGACAAACCGGAGGAAGGUGGGGAUGACGUCAAAUCAUCAUGCCCCUUAUGAUUUGGGCUACACACGUGCUACAAUGGACAAUACAAAGGGCAGCGAAACCGCGAGGUCAAGCAAAUCCCAUAAAGUUGUUCUCAGUUCGGAUUGUAGUCUGCAACUCGACUACAUGAAGCUGGAAUCGCUAGUAAUCGUAGAUCAGCAUGCUACGGUGAAUACGUUCCCGG
rnacentral:rRNA from 1 species